UAAUUUUUCCUGGAAUUGGUGCCAAUUUACUCAUGAAAGGAUAACUAUACGAAUCCUUCCUACCCAUCCCCUGUAGUGGAAUGCAUUCGCUCUAAAUCAUGAUGUUCCUGCCAAAAAAUAUAUUUUUCUGAGCAUGAAUUACAUGCAUAAAUACUGGACCUCCAGCGAUCAUCUUGAGGGUGUGAAAAGAGCUUGCAGAUGCAAACUACAUAAUAAGAAAACACAACAGAAAGAUGUAAGGAGCCAUGGUCAAUUAGGUCAUCGUGAUACCACAUUACAAUGCUGGGCUGCUUAUCACUGCAAUUUUAUUAUGAAGAGGAGAAAAAAAUAAAUUUUAUUGAAGUUGUUUCAUUGUAUCUCUGUUAUUGUAUCAGCCAAAUUGAUUUUCUAGCAGAUACAAGAUAUGUAGUGUAUACCAGUUGUUGUCUUUCUAUAACAGUAAUUUUCCUUUGGUGGAAAAGUUUGCUUCCACUAUGCAUGAUUUUAAUAAAUAUAAUCUUUCUUUGGA
ensembl:lncRNA novel transcript